AUUGAACGCUGGCGGCAUGCCUUACACAUGCAAGUCGAACGGCAGCGCGGACUUCGGUCUGGCGGCGAGUGGCGAACGGGUGAGUAAUGUAUCGGAAUGUACCAUUCAGUGGGGGAUAACGCAGCGAAAGUUGCGCUAAUACCGCAUAUUCUGUGCGCAGGAAAGCAGGGGAUCGCAAGACCUUGCGCUGAUUGAGCGGCCGAUAUCAGAUUAGCUAGUUGGUGAGGUAAAGGCUCACCAAGGCGACGAUCUGUAGCGGGUAUGAGAGGAUGAUCCGCCACACUGGGACUGAGACACGGUCCAGACUCCUACGGGAGGCAGCAGUGGGGAAUUUUGGACAAUGGGCGCAAGCCUGAUCCAGCCGUGCCGCGUGAGUGAAGAAGGCCUUCGGGUUGUAAAGCUCUUUCGGCCGGGAAGAAAUCGCAUGGGUUAAUACCCUGUGCGGAUGACGGUACCGGCAUAAGAAGCACCGGCUAACUACGUGCCAGCCGCAGCCGUAACAC
rnacentral:rRNA from 1 species